AAAGGGAUAGUUCAACGGUAGAACAAUAACAGCUGCAGGUUCGAAUCCCGCUUCC
rnacentral:tRNA from 1 species